AACGAACGCUGGCGGCAGGCUUAACACAUGCAAGUCGAACGCCCCGCAAGGGGAGUGGCAGACGGGUGAGUAACGCGUGGGAAUCUACCCAGCUCUACGGAAUAACUCAGGGAAACUUGUGCUAAUACCGUAUACGUCCGAUAGGAGAAAGAUUUAUCGGAGUUGGAUGAGCCCGCGUUGGAUUAGCUAGUUGGUGGGGUAAUGGCCUACCAAGGCGACGAUCCAUAGCUGGUCUGAGAGGAUGAUCAGCCACAUUGGGACUGAGACACGGCCCAAACUCCUACGGGAGGCAGCAGUGGGGAAUAUUGGACAAUGGGCGAAAGCCUGAUCCAGCCAUGCCGCGUGAGUGAUGAAGGCCCUAGGGUUGUAAAGCUCUUUCAACGGUGAAGAUAAUGACGGUAACCGUAGAAGAAGCCCCGGCUAACUUCGUGCCAGCCGCCGCAGUAACAC
rnacentral:rRNA from 1 species